rnacentral:lncRNA from 1 species
UGACAAGAGCUCACUACUUAUAGAAGUAUGGGCUCAGAAUUUUAUAUAUUUUUAAUAUAUACUUUCUCAAGAAUUUUUUUCCGCGGAGUUUAAAGUAAACUUCGUCCAAUACGCCUAACUUUGCCAAAAUCGUCAAACCGCGUGCUAGAGUCUCGACUCUAACGAGCUGGGGGGCUAACUGUUGGGGUCAAAAACGGUUACGGCGAAGUUAACAUUCAAAACGUCCGAAGAAGAAAAUGAGAACUUUCUUCGACAAAUACUUUUUCGAAAUAGAUUCUUUCUUACGAAAAGCUUUACGGAGGAAACACGAAACAUCGGACAAGAGCUCGAAAAAG